GUAUUUUGUCUUGGGUGUAGACACUACUGGACAGUCCCAUCAACAACAAAAAAGCACACUUUAGCAAGGUUGGGCCCAUUGAUCUAAGAGGAUAACAAAUCAAUACUUCCUGCACUUGAUUAGAGUUUGAUGUCUGAAUCUACACCAGUCAUUUUCUGUAAAAUCUUCAGGCAUGACCAAGGAUAAAGAAAAUGCCUUACAGCUUCUUAGGAAAAAGAAAAAUAAGCCUCACCAUCCUAUUAAAAAAGGCCAGAACAUUGCUAGAAUGCACUCUGUCCUGUAGCACAGCUAUUACAAUAUUAUCUUGAUAAAAGACUCAAAUUCAGAGCUUCUUGAGUGUUUCACCCACUGUCCUCUGCAACUCUUACCUCUCACAAGAGUUGUAUUCCACUAAACAAGAUUUUCAGCCAAUUAUGGGGCCAGUAGACAACAGCAUUAGAUGGAACUUUUACAGGAGCCAGAGCAGACAUACAGAAGUCUUUGCCAGACAAAAUCAAGAUUACUAUUAAGCUCCCUGCAUUCAAAACGAAAUAAGACUUAUUCUCUCAUGAUAGCUUUAAUACCGCUGUUACAUAUACUCCCAACCCAUCUCCAACUCGCCCUCAAAAAAGUAGAUCAAAUUUUAUCUACUUAAUGUAAUAGAGAAAUAUUAUUUUAUCUCCUUUUUAUGUUAUAACAUUUUGAGGCAUGUUUACAUUGCAGCCAGAGGAGCAAUUGAGACACAUGCACAGCCACCUAGCUAGUUUUUGUCUACAUGGUUGAGGCACCCAGAGCAGCAAACUUACCCCAGCAUCAGCUUCAGCUGGUAAGCGUAUAGGUAGGAUCCUAGCCAGGCUUCUUUGGUCCACAUUGAAACCUGCUGGCUUGGUUUCACUGCUAGAUCAGGAAUGCCUAAGCAUGCUGAAAACAUACUUCUAAUUUCAGAGUAGACCUAACCUGAGAUGCAAGUGAUGAUCACUGAUAUAAGAACUUGGGUGCAUGGACUGGACAGAGAGGACAAGCCAGCUCUUAGUGAUUUGAUGAGUUUACUACCUGACAUGACCAAGCUCACCUCAAAAAUACCACUGUAGUUGCAUCAUUGCUCUAGAAUACAAAACAAUUCCUAGUGGAGAUGUCAGACAGUUUGGUCUUCAUGCCGAUUCACUGCCUGGAUUUCCAGUUGAGAGCAUCCACACAGGUUCUAGCUGAGAUAAUAAAUUGAUGGAGGAUGAGAUUUUCAAGAGUUCAACAUUGGUCGAAUUCUGCGCUCAUUCUACAAUGGCUACACUGAUUCCUCCAGCUAUUCAUGGCUUAUCUGUUGCCUUCUUAAUUUGUUUUUGAUAAAUGGUUUUGACUACACAA